AAAUUGAAGAGUUUGAUCAUGGCUCAGAUUGAACGCUGGCGGCAGGCCUAACACAUGCAAGUCGAACGGUAACAGGAAGCAGCUUGCUGCUUCGCUGACGAGUGGCGGACGGGUGAGUAAUGUCUGGGAAACUGCCUGAUGGAGGGGGAUAACUACUGGAAACGGUGGCUAAUACCGCAUAACGUCGCAAGACCAAAGAGGGGGACCUUCGGGCCUCUUGCCAUCAGAUGUGCCCAGAUGGGAUUAGCUGGUUGGUGAGGUAACGGCUCACCAAGGCGACGAUCCCUAGCUGGUCUGAGAGGAUGACCAGCCACACUGGAACUGAGACACGGUCCAGACUCCUACGGGAGGCAGCAGUGGGGAAUAUUGCACAAUGGGCGCAAGCCUGAUGCAGCCAUGCCGCGUGUAUGAAGAAGGCCUUCGGGUUGUAAAGUACUUUCAGCGGGGAGGAAGGUGUUGUGGUUAAUAACUGCAGCAAUUGACGUUACCCGCAGAAGAAGCACCGGCUAACUCCGUGCCAGCAGCCGCGGUAAU
rnacentral:rRNA from 1 species